rnacentral:rRNA from 1 species
CCUACGGGGGGCUGCAGUGGGGAAUAUUGGACAAUGGGGGCAACCCUGAUCCAGCCAUGCCGCGUGUGUGAAGAAGGCCCUCGGGUUGUAAAGCACUUUCAGUGAGGAAGAACGCCUGAUGGUUAAUACCCAUCGGGAAAGACAUCACUCACAGAAGAAGCACCGGCUAACUCCGUGCCAGCAGCCGCGGUAAUACGGAGGGUGCGAGCGUUAAUCGGAAUUACUGGGCGUAAAGCGCGCGUAGGUGGCUUGAUAAGCCGGUUGUGAAAGCCCCGGGCUCAACCUGGGAACGGCAUCCGGAACUGGCAAGCUAGAGUGCCGGAGAGGAAGGUAGAAUUCCCGGUGUAGCGGUGAAAUGCGUAGAGAUCUGGAGGAAUACCAGUGGCGAAGGCGGCCCUCUGGACUGACACUGACACUGAGGUGCGAAAGCGUGGGUAGCAAACAGGAUUAGAUACCCCGGUAGUC